rnacentral:tRNA from 1 species
GGUUCUAGCUCCGUGGUAGAGCACCUGCCUCGCACGUGUGCGGCACUGGGUUCGAUCCUCAGCACCA